GAGUUUGAUCCUGGCUCAGGAUGAACGCUGGCGGCGUGCCUAACACAUGCAAGUCGAACGAAGCGUGCGGAUGGAAUUUCUUCGGAGAGGAAGCCUGCAUGACUGAGUGGCGGACGGGUGAGUAACGCGUGGGCAACCUGCCCUGCACAGGGGGACAACAGCCGGAAACGGCUGCUAAUACCGCAUAAGCGCACAGCUUCGCAUGGAGCGGUGUGAAAAGCUGCGGCGGUGCAGGAUGGGCCCGCGUCUGAUUAGCUGGUUGGCGGGGCAACGGCCCACCAAGGCGACGAUCAGUAGCCGGCCUGAGAGGGUGGACGGCCACAUUGGGACUGAGACACGGCCCAGACUCCUACGGGAGGCAGCAGUGGGGAAUAUUGCACAAUGGGGGAAACCCUGAUGCAGCGACGCCGCGUGAGCGAAGAAGUAUUUCGGUAUGUAAAGCUCUAUCAGCAGGGAAGAAAUUGACGGUACCUGAGUAAGAAGCUCCGGCUAAAUACGUGCCAGCAGCCGCGGUAAUACGUAUGGAGCAAGCGUUAUCCGGAUUUACUGGGUGUAAAGGGAGCGUAGGCGGCCUGCCAAGUCUGAUGUGAAAUACCGGGGCUCAACCCCGGGGCUGCAUUGGAAACUGGCAGGCUGGAGUGUCGGAGAGGCAGGCGGAAUUCCUAGUGUAGCGGUGAAAUGCGU
rnacentral:rRNA from 1 species